AGCAGCAUUUAUGCUGAACUUUGAUGAUUUCCCUCUUUCCCAUUGUGAACUAAAAUCCACUUUGAGAAAAGGAGAGCGUUGAAUGAGAGGAAAUGAAUUGAUCUUGUUAAUGGUGGAAAACUUCGUCUUGUUAGCCUUGACAUGUUUUGAGGAGAGAUGAGAUGAAUAAGAUGGAGAAAUAGGAGAUGAGAAUGCCAUUGUUGAUUCAAAGUAGGAGAAGAGAAGAGAACAGAAGACAGACAAGGGAAGGGAGGCU
rnacentral:misc_RNA from 1 species